UGGGGAAUAUUGCACAAUGGGGGAAACCCUGAUGCAGCGACGCCGCGUGAACGAAGAAGGUAUUCGUAUCGUAAAGUUCUGUCCUAUGGGAAGAUAAUGACAGUACCAUAGAAGAAAGCUCCGGCUAAAUACGUGCCAGCAUCCGCGGUAAUACGUAUGGAGCGAGCGUUGUCCGGAAUUAUUGGGCGUAAAGGGUACGCAGGCGGUUUAAUAAGUCGAAUGUUAAAGAUCGGGGCUCAACCCCGCAAAGCAUUGGAAACUGAUAAACUUGAGUAGUGGAGAGGAAAGUGGAAUUCCUAGUGUAGUGGUGAAAUACGUAGAUAUUAGGAGGAAUACCAGUAGCGAAGGCGACUUUCUGGACACAAACUGACGCAGAGAUACGAAAGAGUGAGGAGCAAACAGG
rnacentral:rRNA from 1 species